UAUACUCAGACCUAAAAUAAAUCAAUUUUCUCUCUUCGUUAAUCACAUGAAACCCUAGUAACAAUUUCCCAAUUUCUCUUCGAUUUACAUUGUUGACAACACCGUUACUUAUAAUACUUUGGUAUGGGGGUUCUGCAGAAUUGGGCUAGUGGAAUUGGGUUUUGCAUUGGUUUUUAUUGACACUAUCACUUUGAUAUGUUUCAUUCCUCGUUUUGCCUUAUAAUUUUGUUUCGCUCACUCAUUUUCUUAAAUUGUUAGCUUUCUUAUUCUGUAUUUUAUACUUGAAUAUAUCUCAUGCAUUCAAAUUCAAUGAGGGAAAUGAGGGAAAGAAAUAAAAUUAAGAAGGCAGAAACAUAUUUCUGUCAGAAAAUCCUUCCGGGCAGAAUUUGUUGCGAUGAAACUUUGGGAAUUGACUCACAUGAAGACAAAUUGAAAGUGGGUUAAUGAUGCCUCCACUGAAUAGAACGUACACACAAACUCUUAACUUUUUACUCAUAGAACAUGAGUAUGUCCAAACAGAAAUUGAAGUUAGAGAUUGUAUAACUUGUUUGUAGGAGAAGGUGAAAGAAUUUACUGCUGAGCAAGUUCAAGAAUUGGAAGAGGGUACUGAUAUGGACCCUAUUAUUAAUGGUGCCUUUGUGAAAAUUGGUGGAAAAAGAUAAAGAAUUGAUCUGGUCAAUGGUUGGGAGUUAAGCCAACAAGUAGAGAUUCACGCACCGAAUUCACGAGUAACUAUUUAUUACAAAUUAACAAAAGGAGGUAGGAGAAGAAUGUCAUAUACGGGGGAGAGUGUGGCACCCAAACUUAUAGAAGUACAAAUUAACUUGUGGAGUAGUGGCAAAAUGGAGAUAUCAUGAAAGCUCAUCUUGAACAUGGGAAGAAAAUGUUAAAAAAGGGCAUCAUGGCACUAUUAUCCCAUAUUCGGAGUUCCAAGCCAUUGCAGGGGGGAAAUGCAGCUUCCUUGGCCAAUUGUAGAGAUACUAUUGCUUAGUUAUUGUUCUGUGACCCCAAAACCUUCUAAUAAAAGCCAAACCUCCAUUUCUCCUACCCGUUCUCCACCUGUUUGGCUCUUCUUCCAAGGGGUUGCUGUGUAACAAGCACAUGCAGACGCAGAGCUAGAAUUUUAAUCUUAUGCGUUCUGAAUUUUAGAACGACAACUUCAAGUGCUAAUAACUGGGUUCUAAAUUUAAUAUUUGUAUAUAUAUUUAAUGAUUUUCUUUAACGCAAUGCACGGUUUGAGCAAAAGCUUCUGGCUUUGGCCGAAAAUUGAUGAGUUAGCACAUGUAUCCACUAGAACACCCAUGAAUAUAUAUUAUCAUCAACUUGAUGAAUUAAUUGUUGUUACGGCUUGGAAUUCUUAUUGUAUAGAAUAAUUGUAUUGGGCAAUGCCUUUCUUCACUUGAACCAAAAAAUUCUUGGCCUGCUGAAAGAAACUUGUCCUAAUUGUUUUGAUGUUGUAUAAUAGUUACUUCCUUAGUUCUAUCAUGUUCAAGUUCUUUAUUGUUUAUAAUUUCUAACACCCUGGACUUCCUGCUGCAAUUCGGUAAUAGGUAGUACUAGAAUAUAUCAUUUCACCAGUCAAAACUGCCUCUCUCUGAUUUUAACUUGAGAGUUUAUUUGAUUUGUAUAGCCGAAAGAUUUGACGUAGUUUUACCUGGUUCUAUUUUCCUUUUUCUAUUUUACGCUUUAUAUCUGAAGCCACCUCCAUAAAAAGGUAAGUUACAUGAAAAAGGUUAUUUGUUGUGAAUACAACUUUGCUCAAUCUGAAUAAUACCCUCAUAAAAAAUUAUUGUUACCUUCUUUUCCCCACAACAUAAAUAUCAUUUUUGACUUUGAAACAUCAAUAUUGAGAACUCACCACAUAAAAAUUAUACUACUCUGCGUCCUAAAAGUCUAAAGCUAGUUUUCAAAAUUUUCCCUCUAUCUGGGCCUCUCCUAUUAAAAAAAAAAACCAAAUAAAAAAAUACUACUUAAAAGUAAGAUAAAAAAAACAUUAUCCGUUAUUCCUGCUUUGGGUUUUCAGGCAGUUUAAUACUCAUUUUGCCUAUAUAUGUUUCAGUUUCUGCUAGAUGAUGUCAUUGGAGCUUUCCCUGUUGGCAAUUGCUAAUAUCCUGCCCCGUCUAGCUAGUCGUCUAGAGUAUCGUCAUCUCGGCCUUGAUGUUGAAUAACAUGUGUUAUAAAUAGCUCAGUUUUCUUUUCCCAUUUCCUGGCAGCAUUCCUUGCUAAUAAGUCAACAAACACAUAUUGCCUAGCAUGUUGUUUUCAUUUAUGCACUUAUUCCUAUUUAUUCGAACACCAAGUGCUUCUUGGGCUAACACUGUCUGUAGUUCUGAAUAUGCAGGAAUUAGUUUAGCCCUUGCUUCUAGUAUUUUGUUAAUACUGUGUGUAGUUCUGAAUUCCAAUGACCUUUGUUUCUCCAAAUGGCUUGGCAGUUUUCAG